AGGUUACAUAUAUGUAACCAUGGUUACAAGCUUGUGACUCUUGAGUUAUGUAACUCUUGUGACUCUUGGGUUAUGUAACUCUUGUGUUAUAAAGUGGGGAUUAUGGUUCCCACAUUAGUGCAAGACAAGACUCUUCUUCCUCCUAUUGAAUCAAGAGACAAAAUACUCCAUUGCUGUCUUGCAAAUAGUGUGGAAAGCUAUAUACCAAAUUUGAUCAUUGUCAUAUUGUUAUUAUUGUGUAACAAUUCACAUAUUGUUAAACCUUGUGGAUUCAUUCUUGUGGUAAUAUACAAACUUCAAGACAUUCUUGAAGAAAGGAUCAAGAGGUUCAAAAAGACUCAAGGACAAUUAUCAAAGGAGGUUCAACACUUUCCGGAUAUGGAUUCAGGUUAGC
rnacentral:lncRNA from 1 species